UACGAAGGGGGGCUAGCGUUGUUCGGAAUUACUGGGCGUAAAGCGCACGUAGGCGGAUUGUUAAGUUAGGGGUGAAAUCCCAGGGCUCAACCCUGGAACUGCCUUUAAUACUGGCAAUCUCGAGUCCGAGAGAGGUGAGUGGAAUUCCGAGUGUAGAGGUGAAAUUCGUAGAUAUUCGGAGGAACACCAGUGGCGAAGGCGGCUCACUGGCUCGGUACUGACGCUGAGGUGCGAAAGCUAGGGGAGCGAACAGG
rnacentral:rRNA from 1 species